AGUCUCCAAUUUUUGUUCUUCUUUUUUACUUUUCAAGGGUUUCCGCUGAAGCUCUUCUUUUUCUUCAUUCUUUAGUCUCCAUUCUUCCAAAAGGCAUUUUUCUUCUACUAAAUUGUGUCAGUUUCUGCGAUUAUAGGUAUGCAAUUGUUUGUAUUGUUCAAGAGUUUGGUUGUUGAAGGUUUCACUCACGUUGUUGCAAAUGGUGUUCUAAGAGUGUCAUCAGAUUUUGGGGUUGGGUGGAAUAGAUUUUUUCAGUCAUGUUUGACUUGAAAUUUGGUUUCUGGAUGUUUGAUUUGUUU
rnacentral:lncRNA from 1 species